UACGUAGGGACCGAGCGUUGUCCGGAAUCAUUGGGCGUAAAGAGCGUGUAGGCGGCCAACUAAGUCCUGCGUGAAAUCUCGGGGCUCAACCCCGAGCGGUCGUGGGAAACUGGUUGGCUAGAGUGCGGGAGAGGAGAGUGGAAUUCCUGGUGUAGCGGUGAAAUGCGCAGAUAUCAGGAAGAACACCCGUGGCGAAGGCGGCAUCCUGGACCGGCAUUGACGCUGAGGCGCGAAAGCCAGGGGAGCAAACGGG
rnacentral:rRNA from 1 species